rnacentral:rRNA from 1 species
GACGUAGGUGGCGAACGUUAUCCGGAAUUAUUGGGCGUAAAGGGUGCGUAGAUGGCUUGAUAAGUUAGCAGUGGGAAAUCGAGGCUCAACCUCGUGGAAGCUGGUAAUACUGUCAGGCUCGAGUGCAGGAGAGGUUAACUGAACUCCAUGUGGAGCGGUAAAAUGUGUAGAUAUAUGGAAGAACACCAAUAACGGCGAAGGCAGUUAACUAUUCUGUUACUGACAUUGAGGCACGAAAGCGUGGGGAGCAAAACGG